AGUGCUAAUACCGGAUAACAACAGAUGAUGCCUAUCAACUGUUUAAAAGAUGGUUCUGCUAUCACUCUUGGAUGGACCUGCGGUGCAUUAGCUAGUUGGUAGGGUAACGGCCUACCAAGGCGAUGAUGCAUAGCCGAGUUGAGAGACUGAUCGGCCACAUUGGGACUGAGACACGGCCCAAACUCCUACGGGAGGCAGCAGU
rnacentral:rRNA from 1 species